UGUUCUGUGGUUUAGUUGGAUAAAGCGCCGAACAAUUGAUACGGAGUCGUGGGUUUGAGUCCCACCAAAACAA
rnacentral:tRNA from 1 species